AAUAGAUACCCUGGUAGUCCACGCCGUAAACGAUGAGUGCUAAGUGUUAGGGGGUUUCCGCCCCUUAGUGCUGCAGCUAACGCAUUAAGCACUCCGCCUGGGGAGUACGGUCGCAAGACUGAAACUCAAAGGAAUUGACGGGGGCCCGCACAAGCGGUGGAGCAUGUGGUUUAAUUCGAAGCAACGCGAAGAACCUUACCAGGUCUUGACAUCCCGUUGACCACUGUAGAGAUAUAGUUUCCCCUUCGGGGGCAGCGGUGACAGGUGGUGCAUGGUUGUCGUCAGCUCGUGUCGUGAGAUGUUGGGUUAAGUCCCGCAACGAGCGCAACCCUUGAUCUUAGUUGCCAUCAUUUAGUUGGGCACUCUAAGGUGACUGCCGGUGACAAACCGGAGGAAGGUGGGGAUGACGUCAAAUCAUCAUGCCCCUUAUGACCUGGGCUACACACGUGCUACAAUGGACGGUACAAACGGUUGCCAACUCGCGAGAGGGAGCUAAUCCGAUAAAGUCGUUCUCAGUUCGGAUUGUAGG
rnacentral:rRNA from 1 species